rnacentral:rRNA from 1 species
UAUGUGGUUUAAUUCGAUGCAACGCGAAGAACCCUACCUGGUCUUGACAUCCCGGAGACCCUUAGGAAACUAGGGGUGCUUCCAUCUGGAAGAAUCUGGAGACAGGUGCUGCAUGGCUGUCGUCAGCUCGUGUCGUGAGAUGUUGGGUUAAGUCCCGCAACGAGCGCAACCCUUGCCUUUAGUUGCCAGCAGUUCGGCUGGGCACUCUAAAGGGACUGCCGGUGUUAAACCGGAGGAAGGUGGGGAUGACGUCAAGUCCUCAUGGCCUUUAUGACCAGGGCUACACACGUACUACAAUGGCCGAUACAAAGGGCAGCGACACUGCGAGGUGAAGCCAAUCCCGUAAAAUCGGUCUCAGUCCGGAUUGGAGUCUGCAACUCGACUCCAUGAAGUUGGAAUCGCUAGUAAUCGUGGAUCAGCAUGCCACGGUGAAUACGUUCCCGGGCCUU